rnacentral:rRNA from 1 species
ACGGAGGGUGCAAGCGUUAUUCGGAAUUACUGGGCGUAAAGGGCGUGCAGGCGGGAGAGCAAGUCUGAUGUGUACGCCCGAGGCUGAACCCCGGAAGGGCAUUGGAAACUGCUUUUCUUGAGUUCUGGAGAGGGAGGGAGAAUUCCCGGUGUAGUGGUGAAAUGAGUCGGGAUCGGGAGGAGCAUCUGUGGCGAAGGCGCGCUUCAGGACAGCCAUUUUUUCUGAGACGCGAAAGCGUGGGGAGCAAACAU